rnacentral:rRNA from 1 species
GACGAACCUUGCAAACGUUAUUCGGAAUCACUGGGCUUAAAGGGUGCGUAGGCUGUGCAGAAAGUUGGGUGUGAAAUACCUCGGCUUAACCGAGGAAUUGCGCCCAAAACUACUGUGCUCGAGGAAGAUAGAGGUGAGCGGAACUUAGGGUGGAGCGGUGAAAUGCGUUGAUAUCCUAAGGAACACCGGUGGCGAAGGCGGCAUCCUGGACCAAUACUGACACUGAGGAGCGAAAGCCAGGGGAGCAAACGGG